GUGGGGAAUAUUGGACAAUGGGGGGAACCCUGAUCCAGCCAUGCCGCGUGUGUGAAGAAGGCCUUUUGGUUGUAAAGCACUUUAAGCGAGGAGGAGGCUACCGAGAUUAAUACUCUUGGAUAGUGGACGUUACUCGCAGAAUAAGCACCGGCUAACUCUGUGCCAGCAGCCGCGGUAAUACAGAAGGUGCAAGCGUUAAUCGGAUUUACUGGGCGUAAAGCGCGCGUAGGUGGCCAAUUAAGUCAAAUGUGAAAUCCCCGAGCUUAACUUGGGAAUUGCAUUCGAUACUGGUUGGCUAGAGUAUGGGAGAGGAUGGUAGAAUUCCAGGUGUAGCGGUGAAAUGCGUAGAGAUCUGGAGGAAUACCGAUGGCGAAGGCAGCCAUCUGGCCUAAUACUGACACUGAGGUGCGAAAGCAUGGGGAGCAAACAGGAUUAGAAACCCUAGUAGUCC
rnacentral:rRNA from 1 species